rnacentral:tRNA from 1 species
GCUUUCGAGGUGUAAAGGUAGCACACUCGGCGCGGAUUCGAGAGGUCCAGGUUCGAGUCCCGGCGAGGGCA